rnacentral:rRNA from 1 species
AUACGAAGGGGGCUAGCGUUGUUCGGAAUUACUGGGCGUAAAGCGCGCGUAGGCGGACUGAUCAGUUGGGGGUGAAAUCCCAGGGCUUAACCCUGGAACUGCCUCCAAUACUGUCAGUCUUGAGUUCGGGAGAGGUGAGUGGAAUUCCUAGUGUAGAGGUGAAAUUCGUAGAUAUUAGGAAGAACACCAGUGGCGAAGGCGGCUCACUGGCCCGAUACUGACGCUGAGGCGCGAAAGCGUGGGGAGCAAACAGGAUUAGAUACCCGCGUAGUCC